rnacentral:rRNA from 1 species
UGUGAGUCGUUGCAGCAAUGCAAGGCGAACGGCUCAGUAACACGUAGUCAACCUAACCUGUAGACGGGAAUAACCUCGGGAAACUGAGAAUAAUGCCCGAUAGAUCACAAUGCUUGGAAUAGUUUGUGGUUCAAAUGAUUUAUCGCUACAGGAUGGGACUGCGGCCUAUCAGCUUGUUGGUGAGGUAAUGGCCCACCAAGGCGAUAACAGGUACGGGCUCUGAGAGGAGAGGCCCGGAGAUGGGUACUGAGACACGGACCCAGGCCCUAUGGGGCGCAGCAGGCGAGAAAACUUUGCAAUGUGCGAAAGCACGACAAGGUUAAUCCGAGUGGUUUCUGCUAAAGAAACCUUUUGUCAAUCCUAAAAGCAUCGACGAAUAAGGGGUGGGCAAGUUCUGGUGUCAGCCGCCGCGGUAAAACCAGCACCUCAAGUGGUCAGGAGGAUUAUUGGGCCUAAAGCAUCCGUAGCCGGCUGUGUAAGUUUUCGGUUAAAUCCACACGCUCAACGUGUGGGCCGCCGGGAAUACUGCACAGCUAGGGAGUGGGAGAGGUAGACGGUACUCCGUAGGAAGGGGUAAAAUCCUGUGAUCUAUGGAUGACCACCUGUGGCGAAGGCGGUCUACUAGAACAUGUCCGACGGUGAGGGAUGAAAGCUGGGGGAGCAAACCGGAUUAGAUACCCGGGUAGUCCCAGCUGUAAACUAUGCAAACUCGGUGAUGCAUUGGCUUUUGCCAGUGCAGUGUCGCAGGGAAGCCGUUAAGUUUGCCGCCUGGGAAGUACGUACGCAAGUAUGAAACUUAAAGGAAUUGGCGGGGGAGCACCACAAGGGGUGAAGCCUGCGGUUAAUUGNANNNAAACCNCCGGGA